UCGAGAAUCUUCCGCAAUGGACGAAAGUCUGACGGAGCGACGCCGCGUGAUUGAUGAAGCCCUUCGGGGUGUAAAGAUCUUUUAUUAAGGAGGAAGUUAUUGACGUUACUUAAUGAAUAAGAGGCUACUAACUCUGUGCCAGCAGUAGCGGUAAUACAGAGGCCUCAAGCAUUAUCCGGAAUUAUUGGGCGUAAAGGGUGUGUAGGCGGUCUUGUUAGUCUUCUGUCAAAGAUCCCGGCUUAACCGGGAGAAGGCAGGGGAAACGGCAAGACUAGAGUGUGCGAGAGGUGAACAGAACUCAUAGUGUAGGAGUGAAAUCCGUUGAUAUUAUGGGGAAUACCAAAUGCGAAGGCAGUUCACUGGCGCACCACUGACGCUGAAACACGAAAGCGUGGGUAGC
rnacentral:rRNA from 1 species